UUGACGGGCCCGCACAAGCAGCGGAGCGUGUGGUUUAAUUCGAUGUUACACGAAGAACCUUUACCAGGGUUUGACAUGCAAGUGGUAGGAAGCCGAAAGGUGACCGACCCUUCGGGGAGCUUGCACAGGUGCUGCAUGGCUGUCGUCAGCUCGUGUCGUGAGAUGUUCGGUUAAGUCCGCUAACGAGCGCAACCCUCGCUGUGUGUUAUAUGUGUCACACGGGACUGCCGGUCUUAAGCCGGAGGAAGGUGGGGAUGAUGUCAAGUCAGCAUGGCCUUUAUAUCCUGGGCUACACACACGCUACAAUGGCCAACACAAUAGGUUGCUAAGCCGCGAGGUGGCGCCAAUCCAUAAAGUUGGUCUCAGUUCAGAUUGUAGGCUGCAACCCGCCUGCAUGAAGAUGGAGUUGCUAGUAACCGCAGGUCAGCUAUACUGCGGUGAAUACGUUCUCGGGCCUU
rnacentral:rRNA from 1 species